GCCCUUGUAGCUCAGUGGUAGUAGCGUUCGCCUUGUAAGCGAAAGGUCUCGUGUUCAAUCCACGACGGGGGCA
rnacentral:tRNA from 1 species